rnacentral:misc_RNA from 1 species
UUUCCGUAGGUGAACCUGCGGAAGGAUCAUUAUUGUAUAACCGAGGUGCGAGGGCUGUCGCUGACCCGAAAGGUCGUGCACGCCCGAGUGCCCUCACACACAUCCACCUCACCCCUAUGUGCACCACCGCGUGGGUCCCCCUUUGGCUUGUUCGGAGGGGGGCUUACGUUUUCACACAAACUUUGUAUGCAGUGUAGAAUGUAUUUUUUGUUUUUGCGAUCACGCAAUCAAUACGACUUUCAACAACGGAUCUCUUGGCUCUCGCAUCGAUGAAGAACGAGC